AGGAAGAAACUACUGUAAAGAUGAAAAAAUACACAAACAAUGAAGGAUUCUGCAUUCAGAUAUCUUUGGAUUUCUCAGCCAAGCAUCAAUGAAUCUUGAAUCUCAGCUGAUGACACUCCUGGGCAAAAUGGCUAUGAAACUGGAAAGAUGUCUAUGAAACACACAGUCCCUCAAGCCAGAAAAUGCACUUGACACAUCUGUGUCCCUUGAGGAACCUGAAGUUUUGGUGAAUCCAGAAAGCCAUGGAUGGCAGAACUGACCACAGAAAAAGAAACAGAGGCUCAGAAAGGUGAAGCCAAUUGCCUGAAGCCACACAGAAUAUCAGCUGGAGUCAGGAUUCUAACACCAUCCCAUGUAGCUGAUGCUAUCUACUGCCAGCCUGGAGCCAGGCUAAGAGGAAGAGAAAGAAGAAAAUGCCUGCAGAAACAUUCUAUGUAAAGAACACUUUGGGAUCAGAAAAAGAAGCGCGCCCGUGUUUCACUUGCAGCCUCACCCUGCACUAGGUAACCCUCCUUCCUCCACUGCACAAUCACUUAGAAACUGUAACUCUUCUUGGGCCCAGGUGCACAGGUAAAUUCGGAUCUUUCCCAAGGGAUCUCUGGGGCCUCGGGUCACAGCAGACCAGAACUUGACCUGGAGGCUGGUGUCCCCCAAACUGCUGUAUGGACCCUGCAACAGCUGGGGAGUCCUCGUCUCAACAGCCCUGCUGUCUCCCACUGAGGUCAUCUGCUGGCCCUCCUGGUGGCCCUGUGAGGAAGCCAGGAGUCACUGAUGCUGCUCUAUCGACGGCGACAGAUGGAUCACAGCUGAUAAGUGACUUGCCCAGAGUUUUGCAGCUUGGAACUCACAGAGCAGAAGCUGGGAAUCAGGUGGGGAAGCACCCAGCUCUCUGCUUCUCCUAAGCCAAGCUCUGCAGCGAGGUCCUGCUUCCCUCGGGACUCCUCUUUCAGCAUGACAUGAACUCAUUUUGAAUGUAAAGGCAAUGUCAAAGCCCUACAGCUAUUUAUACCAGAGCAUGUGUUUAUUAGCUCACUCUCCAGGGGGAAUAUUGCUGUUGUGAAUACACAACUACUCAUAACUACCGUCUUAAAAAUCUUCUCUACCCCAAAAUAUUUACUAAUGUAUUUAAGUAUUUAUUUUCUUGUAGUGAAAGGAAAUCAAGAUAAUUCUAAAAUUGUGGAAGAAAACAAAAAAAGUAUAAAGGAGAAAACAGAAGCUUCACAUAUUCUAACCAUUAUUAAUCUCAAAAUAUUUUAUUCCAGGUCCUUGUCUAUGGUCCAGGUCCUUGUCUAUGGUCCUAUAGCCUAUGCUGAGUGACACUGUGCUAUGUGUAUGCCAUUUGCACUCACCGUGGGGUCAUAAGCGUGCCAUUUCCUUUUUAUUAAAAAAAUACUUUGCAUACAUGAAAGUAUGUUUGCAUUAAAACUAUGCAAACAUCAGUUUUAAUAACUGUAUAAAUAUUCCAUCACAAGGACAUUCCAUAAUUUAUUUAAUCACUUUGGUAGUGUUGGACAUUUAAUUUUUUAAAAAGUCAAAUAAUGCCAGGAUUAAUGCCUGUUUAUAUGAACCAGUUUUCAUUUCCUGAUUAUUUUCUUCGGCCAGAUCCCCAAAAGUGGAAUUACUGAUAAAAGUAGGUGAGUGUUUUUAACACAUUUCUUCUUAUACACACACACACACACACACACACACACACACACCCAUCAACAAAUAGUUUUUCCUGGAAGGAACUUCCAGUAGUGUAUGAGAAAGCCUAUUGCACCACACCAUCCCCAGCAAUGAGAAUUACUACUGUAAAAAAAUCUUUGUUACAUUAAAUUUUUGGAGGACAUCUCAUUUUCUUGAUUGCAUUUGAUUAACUCAAAAUGUAUUUCUACAGGGUGGGGAA
rnacentral:lncRNA from 1 species